AACGAGCGCUGGCGGCGUGCCUAACACAUGCAAGUCGUGCGAGAAAGUUCCUUCGGGAGCGAGUAAAGCGGCGCACGGGUGAGUAACACGUAGGUAACCUGCCCCCCAGUCUGGAACAACUAGAGGAAACUCUAGCUAAUGCCGGAUGAGACCACGAUCCCUUCGGGGGUUGCGGCCAAAGAUGGCCUCUACUUGUAAGCUAUCGCUGAGGGAUGGGCCUGCGGGCCAUUAGCUUGUUGGUGAGGUAACGGCUCACCAAGGCUGUGAUGGCUAGCUGGUCUGAGAGGAUGACCAGCCACACUGGGACUGAGACACGGCCCAGACUCCUACGGGAGGCAGCAGUGGGGAAUAUUGCGCAAUGGGCGAAAGCCUGACGCAGCGACGCCGCGUGGGUGAUGAAGGCCUU
rnacentral:rRNA from 1 species